GGGUUCUUAGCUCAGUUGGUUAGAGCGUCUGCUUGACGUGCAGAAGGUCGCAAGUUCGACUCUUGCAGAACCCA
rnacentral:tRNA from 4 species